rnacentral:lncRNA from 1 species
ACUACAGCGUCUCAUUCUAUCAACCUUCUGAGGCAGCGACUUUCCUCCUGCUCUGAAGAUGACUAGGACAGAGAUUUCAAAGGACCAGGGUGUCUCUUCCAGGUACUCUUCCAAUGCUGCAACUGAUAAGGAAGCACGAGAAGGGACUUGCUCCAGACAGAAGAAAAACCAGCUUCCCUCCACAUUCCUUUGUGGAGUGAACCCUCCCAGUCUGACCUUUCUCCUCCCAGCGCAUCUGAUUGAAGUAGCUUCUGGAGGCCUUGGGAGUCGGGAAUUAUUAAUAUCAAGGAGGGACAAAUGAAGCCUCAAUUGGUUGUCUGAGCUGAAUGCCAUCUCCCUGCGAAGGUGUCCCCUCUUGAGACAAGGAUCGUUUGAGGGGAUUUAGAGGGACAGCAAAUGCCAGUGGCAAUUAUAUUCAUUGUGCCUAAGUAGAACUGCCACCUACCCUUCCUUUCCCAUGAGCACCUAGGGUUUAUCAGCCACAGACUUCCUGGGCCAUCACACCUCCAACCAAGCUCGGCUGUCCCACUGGCUGACUGGGGACAGGCAGGAUACCUCCCCAUCAUGGGAGGUGACGCGAGUGAUGGGACCAGAAAGAAGUGAGGAGACCUAGGCUUCCUGGGAACUAAGGAGUAGGCAUUUGGUGGGUCCUCAGAACUCCCCUGAUGAAUUCUCUCCAACUUUAAAUAUAUCCAGAAGUUGCUGAAAGGAAAUUUUUCCCAUACUUUAAGGGUGAUGUGUACUGAAACUUACUGUAUCCUGAGGAACAGGACCUGGUCUUCGCAUAGUAAAGACUUGA